GAUGAACGCUGGCGGCGUGCCUAAUACAUGCCAGUCGAGCGAACAGACGAGGAGCUUACUCCUCUGACGUUAGCGGCGGACGGGUGAGUAACACGUGGAUAACCUACCUAUAAGACUGGGAUAACUUCGGGAAACCGGAGCUAAUACCGGAUAACAUGUUGAACCGCAUGGUUCAACAGUGAAAGACGGUCUUGCUGUCACUUAUAGAUGGAUCCGCGUCGCAUUAGCUAGUUGGUAAGGUAACGGCUUACCAAGGCAACGAUGCGUAGCCGACCUGAGAGGGUGAUCGGCCACACUGGAACUGAGGCACGGUCCAGACUCCUACGGGAGGCAGCAGUAGGGAAUCUUCCGCAAUGGGCGAAAGCCUGACGGAGCAACGCCGCGUGAGUGAAGAAGGUCUUCGGAUCGUAAAGCUCUGUUAUUAGGGAAGAACAAAUGUGUAAGUAACUAUGCACGUCUUGACGGUACCUAAUCAGAAAGCCACGGCUAACUACGUG
rnacentral:rRNA from 1 species